rnacentral:rRNA from 1 species
UACAGAGGGUGCGAGCGUUAAUCGGAAUGACUGGGCGUAAAGGGCGCGUAGGCGGUUAAAUAAGUGAGGUGAUAAAGACAUGGGCUUAACCUAUGGGUGACGCCUUAGACUGUUUAACUAGAGACGAGGAGAGGGGAGUGGAAUUUCCGGAGGAGUGGUGAAAUACGUAGAUUUCGGAAGGAACACCGGAGGCGAAGGCGACUUUCUGGCCUUGUUCUGACGCUGAGGAGCGAAAGCGUGGGUAGCAAACAGG